GAUGAACGCUGGCGGCGUGCCUAAUACAUGCCAGUCGAGCGAACAGACGAGGAGCUUGCUCCUCUGACGUUAGCGGCGGACGGGUGAGUAACACGUGGAUAACCUACCUAUAAGACUGGGAUAACUUCGGGAAACCGGAGCUAAUACCGGAUAAUAUAUUGAACCGCAUGGUUCAAUAGUGAAAGACGGUUUUGCUGUCACUUAUAGAUGGAUCCGCGCCGCAUUAGCUAGUUGGUAAGGUAACGGCUUACCAAGGCAACGAUGCGUAGCCGACCUGAGAGGGUGAUCGGCCACACUGGAACUGAGCAACGGUCCAGACUCCUACGGGAGGCAGCAGUAGGGAAUCUUCCGCAAUGGGCGAAAGCCUGACGGAGCAACGCCGCGUGAGUGAUGAAGGUCUUCGGAUCGUAAAACUCUGUUAUUAGGGAAGAACAAAUGUGUAAGUAACUAUGCACGUCUUGACGGUACCUAAUCAGAAAGCCACGGCUAACUACGUG
rnacentral:rRNA from 1 species